UGUGGCUCUGAGCUGCUGAGGGCACUUGCUCAGAGAAAGUCCUGCUAUCCUUAACUGCUCUUGGUGGAAGUGCUGCAUUUCUAACCUGGAGAUGUGAUGGUCCAAGAGCUGUAGUUGCCCAUUGCGGUGACGUGCAGGAGGCUGUGAUCCCCGUGCCGUGGUAUAUGUCACAAGGAAAAUAUGUGGAAGCGAGAGAGUUAAUGUACUCAGGGGCUCUGCUGUUCUUCAGUCAUAACCAG